rnacentral:pre_miRNA from 1 species
AAGAGACGAGUGUGUCAAACUAGCCAAGGAGACUGCCUGAAGCCGUGUAAAUGGCCAUCGACACCAUUUAUACAUAUAUUCGACUAAGACCACUUUGCUAUGGAGCAGGCAAGUCAUCCUUGGCUACCAAACAAUACUCAUAUCC